CUCCUUGCCCCCUGCCUCCUUGCCCAGGUCGGUUCCAGCUAACUCCUCAGACUCCUCUUCUUGAGGUGAACCAGAGGCUCCGUUCCCGGAGUCGUCCGCCCCUUCAGACCCGGCCGCUGGUUUCAGGUCCGCCCCUUCAGACCCGGCCGCUGGUUUCAGGUCCGCCCCUUCAGACCCGGCCGAUGGUUUCAGGUCCGCCCCUUCAGACCCGGCCGAUGGUUUCGGGUCCGCCCCUUCAGACCAGGUCGCUGGUUUCAUGUCUGCUUCUUUUGGUGUUUCAGUCGUUGACGUAAACAGGUAGAAAACUCUGGGUGGCUGCAGAACGGAGAGCCUGGACAAAGUGGGGUCAAAUUUUUUUUAAAUAGACGUGCACGUACCAAUCAACACACAUUUGCAUUUCUUCGACUAUAAAACAUUACCCAUAAGCAUUGCUAUUCCUUCGGAUUACACCAUUAAAGGUGGGGUAUGGGUUUUGCGAAACGCCAGCAGAUUUGGAAAAUCCACAACUCAAAUGGUCCUACCUCCUCUCCUUCAACGCUGAUUCUGACUCCACCCAUUCCAAGUACAUGGACACGCAAUCAUGCACGAGCGAACACAGAUGCUCGAGAGCGAGCCCUUAGCUAGUUAGCUAGCUCCAGUAGCUACCGCAGGAUCACAACAGAAGCUUGUUCUGGGUCACGAGCUUUGAGUACGUGCACGAAGGGGUCGCGCGUGGAGUUUUUCGAGCCCUGCCCGUUCCACAGAUGAUGGACUUGUUUAAUUUUCAUGUCAGUACUUCUAACUCAGUGGCUGUAAGUGGGUUAUGAUAAGGAUCUCAAGUAAUUUUUCAAAAAUGGAAAAAAGAGAAUUCCGAACCAAACCUUUAAGCUUAUGUUGACAAAUUAAAAACUGCAAUUUAACGUGCAAAAUUCAUGUGUUUUUUUUUUCUUUUCAGAAAUACCAUCUUUCCCGCACUAUAAGGCGCACCGGAGUAUAAGCCGCAGCAGCUAAAUUGAAUGAUGUGUACAUAUAUAAGCCGCACUGGACUAUAAGCCGCAGGUGUUUUAAUGUUUAAUUACCAUCUGUAAGGGUUCGUGCACAGAGGGGAUUGUCGGGAAAGAGAUGGCUGCUUGAGGAAACUCCCAUUUAUUAACAUUUCAACAAACAAGUUGCAUAUUUGCAUAACGUAUUCAAGCGUUACCAUUUAGUGCAAUAGUAGCUACAGAACACUAUGCAGUGUAAACGGUACUGCAUCACAUAGCGUUUCAGACACACAAACUUUUCAACUUUCAAACUUAAACGGUGCACAGGUUUUCAACCAGUGGUCCUUGAGGGAGUGCUACGGGUUCCCCAGCAAAAUUAGUUAAUAGCGUCACAAUCAUUUUACCACUUAACUUUGGCUAUUUUUGAAAAACCUUGAAAAAGUGUGCACAUCUUUGAAUAUGUAUCGACAUUAUAGCCUACAGUAGUACCAUAACAAAAAAACAAAGCUUACAGCGCUUGACGAGGAAAUAUCAAUGGCUAAAUUAAAUGUGUUUUUUUAAAAGUUCAAAAUAAACCGCCUGUAACACGACAGUAAAUGCGUAAGCCUAAAGUUGCAGCAA